rnacentral:rRNA from 1 species
GACGAACGCUGGCGGCGUGCUUAACACAUGCAAGUCGAACGAAGAGCGACGGAAGCUUGCUUCUAUCAAUCUUAGUGGCGAACGGGUGAGUAACGCGUAAUCAACCUGCCCUUCAGAGGGGGACAACAGUUGGAAACGACUGCUAAUACCGCAUACGAUCUAACCUCGGCAUCGAGGAUAGAUGAAAGGUGGCCUCUACAUGUAAGCUAUCACUGAAGGAGGGGAUUGCGUCUGAUUAGCUAGUUGGAGGGGUAACGGCCCACCAAGGCGAUGAUCAGUAGCCGGACUGAGAGGAUGAACGGCCACAUUGGGACUGAGACACGGCCCAGACUCCUACGGGAGGCAGCAGUGGGGAAUCUUCCGCAAUGGACGAAAGGCUGACGGAGCAACGCCGCGUGAGUGAUGACGGCCUUCGGGUUGUAAAGCUCUGUUAAUCGGGACGAAAGGCCUUCUUGCGAAUAGUGAGAAGGAUUGACGGUACCGGAAGAGAAAGCCACGGCUAACUACGUG